rnacentral:rRNA from 1 species
AACGAACGCUGGCGGCAGGCUUAACACAUGCAAGUCGAGCGCCCCGCAAGGGGAGCGGCAGACGGGUGAGUAACGCGUGGGAAUCUACCCAUCUCUACGGAAUAACGCAUGGAAACGUGUGCUAAUACCGUAUACGUCCUUCGGGAGAAAGAUUUAUCGGAGAUGGAUGAGCCCGCGUUGGAUUAGCUAGUUGGUGGGGUAAAGGCCUACCAAGGCGACGAUCCAUAGCUGGUCUGAGAGGAUGAUCAGCCACACUGGGGCUGAGACACGGCCCAGACUCCUACGGGAGGCAGCAGUGGGGAAUAUUGGACAAUGGGCGCAAGCCUGACCCAGCCAUGCCGCGUGAGUGAUGAAGGCCCUAGGGUUGUAAAGCUCUUUCACCGGUGAAGAUAAUGACGGUAACCGGAGAAGAAGCCCCGGCUAACUUCGUGCCAGCCGCCGCGGUAAUAC